UACGUAGGGUGCAAGCGUUAUCCGGAUUUACUGGGCGUAAAGGGUCAGUCGGCGGUUUAUCAAGUUGCUUGUUUAAGCCUGGGGCUUAACUCCAGAACAGCAAGCAAAACUGAUAAUCUAGAGUCUGUUCGAGGGAGCUAGAAUUCUUGGUGGAGGGGUGAAAUCCGUAGAUAUCAAGAGGAAUACCAUGCGCGAAGGCGGGCUCCUAGGACAUGACUGACGCUCAGAGACGAAAGCUUGGGUAGCAAAAGGG
rnacentral:rRNA from 1 species